rnacentral:tRNA from 1 species
AGGGAUGCUGCUCAGUGGUAGAGCAUUUAUUUAGUAUGUGAAAGGCCCUGGGUUCAAUCAUCAGCAUCACUA